rnacentral:lncRNA from 1 species
AGCAAAAAAUUAGAAGCAUUCAAAAUCAUUCAAAAUAACCAAUGAAUUCCUAGUCUGCACACACUAUUUAUUCAGUCAAAAGCAUUCAAAAUCAUUCAAGAAGAAUAAGUGUAAUCAUUCAAAACAGCACUCACACAAGUAACUUAUGAAGAUGCCUUUAUACACAACACACCGAAGCAAAAGUAACAUCUCGCAGAAAGAACCAAACACAGAAGAACAUCAUUUACAGGAUAUAAAACAGCAUUUGUCAAAGUCUGAAACAAAAAGAAGUCUCUAAUACAAUUCAUCUUGCUUUAGCAUUCCAAUUGAUCACUUUCAGAAAAAUGAGCUAAAGUAAUAAAUUUCCACGAACAAUAGAAUAAGUUAGUAUAACAAAGAAAUCAUAAUCUCAAAUUCAGAGGCAAAAAACAAAAAAAAAAAAAAAGAACCCUUGUUUUGACAAAUAUAACAAGUAUGAUAAAAAACUGACAAAUGUUGUCAUGGAGCGGAAGACAUUUCAAAUUCAAUUAAGGAAAAAUAACUGGUACAGCCUUUUUUUAUUGUUUCCAUCCCACACAUCAACAUAACCAUCACAACCUCAAGUAGCAAAUGUACCAUAGCUACAAAUCAAAAUCAGUUUUGAGACAGAUUUUGGCAAAAAGCUCAAGGUAUUCAAUCAAUAGAUAAUUGUAAUAGAUCCAACUCAAUCACUCAAUAUAUCUAGAGUUGAUAAAUCAAGCACAUAGGCUUAUAAAUCAUUCAUGGAUACAUUGACAUUAUAAAUCAUUCUCUUUUGUUUGUUCCAUUCCAACUCAAUCAUUGACAUAGCUACCUUAAGAAUACAUGGAUCGGCUCCACUUAUCAAGUUCAAAAAAACAGAUGUUUCCUAAAGACGCAUAGUUAUGAUGAGAAGCUUGAAGGUCGUGAUUGCCUGGGGAAUAUCUAGAGUUGAAAAUUGGAAAUCAGGAAAGAUAAAUUCAGGUUCGAUCGCUUAUUCGUAAGCUGUUAAAGUUUUGAACUGUCCCCAUAAUUGAUUGUUUUUGCCUUGUUUCUGCAAUUAUCUCUCAUAUUUGUUUACAGUAAGCACCAUCACAUCAAGUAAAGAACACUUCUCUUGCACCCUAUAUCAAUCUAACAUGAUUCCAUCUGGUACUGAGACUACCAAAACCCAAGCUCGUAGCCCAAAGAACCUACAACACUUUGUUCACCAUAGCUGAAGACAUACUUGGAACAACUAAGGUACCAUAUACUUUCUUUUUUUUUUCAGUGCAUAGGCAGACACAAACAUAUAUAGUUAUAAUAAAUCACACACACCUCAAACAAAAAAGAAAUGAAUUCUUUCAUAUCUUGAUAAACACUUCAAAUGUAUACUAAUCCUAUGAACAACCAAGUAAAAUGACAUUGAUAUGGUAUGAAGAGACAUACACAUCAGCUUGCAUGUACACUUCAGAACCAAGAUUGAUCAAUGUCCUCAGACUGGUUACACUAUUUUCUCCAAUGUCUCUAUAUUUCUUUUCCAAUCAGAGCUACAAGAAGUUAAGAGAAAAAAAAAGUAAAGAAGCAUUGCAGGUCAAAGGGAACUUGUGCAAAGAAAUAGGAGUCAGAGCAAUAAAGGUGAGUAGUAUCAAUACCCAAAUGCAAGAAAACUUAGAAGGAUACAAAACUUUCUGUUGUUCAAAUACCUCGUUCCUGCAAAAGAGAUACCCAGAAUAUUAGAAAUUUGGCAUAUAACAGAAAUUCCGUCUCCAAAUUCGCAACUUAAUAGUGAAAUAUUAAACAUAAAGUAGGUAAGUACUCCAACUCAUAUAAUCCCACUACUGAUGGUAAUAAGCUCAAUAAAGUGGUAACAGGGGAUGGUUCUCCAAAUAACAACUGUAAGCGGGUGAGUUCAGUAUGAGGCAACCAACGGAUUCCCACCCACACCUCCCCGUCUCAAGAAAAUAGAAAAGGGCAAAAAAGGGCGAAAAAAAAUAGAAGGAAAAGAAAAAAGAAAGAAAAGGAAAUGAAUAUUGGCAAUAUGGGAGUCAAAUGAAGCAAAGUCUAAUCUAUUUAUACACAAAAAAGGAUCACUCUCUUCCAGUUUCAGAUCGUUAGUUUUCACUACUACAGGAAGUUCAGCUACCGCCCGCUAGAAGCAAAAAAAAAAAAAUUUUAAAGACAUCGAGUGAGAGAAUUGGGCUCCAAAACACCCUUCCGUACAAUGAUACAAAGAUGGAAAAAGGACAAAAGAAAAUGAAGAAAGUUACGGGUAAUAACCAGAAAUUAGCUAAUUCAAAGUCCUCCCAAACUGUUCAAUAUAUUUCUUAUCUGCAUUGGCUAGGCGAUCUUGAAACUGCACCCACUCACUUCUGCACCUCUCUCUUACCUACCAAAUUAGAUAGAAAAGAAUUCAAGCUAGUUACUUGACGUUUGGACAAAUCUAAUGAAAUUCAGUUCAAUGCAAAAUCAUGCAAUUCAAACAGAGUGCAGAUAUAAGACCUAUGAAUCCUAAUUUAAACAUGAUUGUUAGAAUGUAGGUGAUAUAGAAUAACUCAGAUUACCAUAAAAUUGGAUGAAGAAGCUUUCAGAGUUGACUUUUGCAAAAAAAACGAAGGACAAAGAAAAGGCCUCAAUAAAAAAAUAUACAGAAAGGUUGAAAUGGAAACCGAACAAGUAACAGCUUACAUACCCCUUGCCAAGGAGCUUUUCCAUUUUCAGAUUGACCCUGGAAUCAACGAAGCUGAAGCUGUUAGCAUCAUUAUCAACAAAACAAAUCUAAAUGAGGGGAAACCAGAUCAAGGGACAAGUAGGAUAAUUGACGUGGAAGAAAAAAAUGUAAAUAAGGGGGUUGCUGCUAAAAAGUUGCUUAUUUUAUAAAUGAAGAACCAUUUGCUCAAAAAUGGAAAUUAAAGUUGAACAGAACAACAUUUGCAAACAACUAAACUUCAUUAUUUUAAUCACCUCUAGGAAAAGGAAAAGCAAGUCCCGAUGGUUGUAAUAAAGUAGUUAACUGACCUGACUUCCCAGAGAAGGAAUAACUUGAUGAACUAUCCACUGAGAGUCAACCACAUCAAUUUUCUCAUGUGCAGGCUACACAGGCAAAAUACACUUACAAUGAAACUGAUAAUACGCAGACAUCCAUUUGAAAUACAUACAUGUUUUCCAAUUUUAUCUGUUUUACAUGCCACUGUCCCGCAGAUCUCUCCUUCCAACAGGAAUAUGAAAAGCAGGUAGACAAGCCUUCUUUUCUAAAUCUUUCAAAUAAUACAGUGAUAAGAAACAAAUAAAACCACUGACCUCCACACAUCUCCUUAGUGCAAAAUCCAAUCCCCAACCAUGCACCAAAUCAUUCUAGAAAUGUUAUUGAAAGUAAAAAAUCAGCGUGAGCUCUAAGCUGGAAAGAACCAAGGCUAAUGAGAGCAGCUAAAAGCAAAAAUAGUUGGAGGUACAACAAGGCUUAAAACAUACGUAUACAAAUGACAAAGUUAGAGAAGGGAACCUGAAUCAUAUGCCAAACACAUCGCCAAGCAUCCCGCGAGAAAACAGGAGCCACAAUUUCCACAAAGCUGAAUUCAAAAAGGAAAAACACAAGGAAAAUUAGUUGAAGGUAAAUGUUGAAGCCACCCCAAUCCUUUAUACUUUUCUUAACUAUAUAUCUCCAUUUUAAGGGCCUGAGCAUAAAUCAUGGGUCAUAACUCAACCUACAAACACUACCAUAAAAUCAAAUUUUUCAACAAUAAGACGUGAUAUUGCUAUGAGAUGUCUUGUAGCUAAGCUCUUCUUUUUGGCAAUGGUCAACCUGAUGAAGAAAUAUGACCAUCAGAGAAAGUGAGCUUCUUGUUUCUGGCAAUUUCAACUUUCAAGCCAUGUAAAUAAACAAUAGUUUCCCAAGACAACAUUUUUGUUGUUUUUCAGUUUAAUAUUAUUAUUUUCUUGGGUUAAAGAGAUUGACCUUCGGAAAACCAAACAAUCAAUCUCUGGAAAAUUUAAAUCUUUGGAAAACCAAACAAUCACUCGGAAGAGAAAAAAACAAAUCCUUUUCAGGUUUGGAUUAUAAGAAAAUAAAAACAAGAAAAACAAACUGCAUGGCUCCCAAAUUGCCAUUCAGUCAAUCAAAAGAACAAUGUAUCAGUUCAAAACUACAAAAUUCAAUCUAUUAUGAUAAGUGAACCCUGCUCAAUUACAAUACAAUCUCAUCUCAUACUACCUGGGGUCAGUAACUUGCUAUCAUCUUCUUUCCCGCAGGUGUCUCUAAUAUCAGAAAAUAAUGUUUCUUCCAUUUAUCUCCUUUUUGAAUGCGAAGAAUUAGCAUAAAAGUCCUUAAAAAGUUAUUCAUAAAGAGGUUAACAUAUUUAGUUAACUCUACACUCAUGACUGUAAGCGUUGGUAGAUUUAUUAGUUUCAGAUACUAAAUGAUCCUCAGAUAUCCAUUAAAUAUAGAAGAGAUAAAAAUUCAGACAAAGCCAGCAAUUCUAAAGCCCAAACUGCUAGCCGAAAAAUCGUGGAAUUUUACACAAAUUAUACCAAAACCUCCAAUUCUCUUAGCUAAAUAUAAUAAAUUACCAAAAUUUACGAAACCCACAAUGGGUAUUAGGGCAAAAUAAUUCCCAAGGUCGGUUUUUUUCUUGAAGUGGUUCGAUUAUUAAAGAGGGGAAACAACGAAAGAGAACAAGAUUUCCUAAUGUUGUGCACCAAUUAAGGACGAUAUACUACUACUCCGUUGAAAUGUAGAUAGAAAUUCAGAUUAAUUGAAACAAAAGAAAAAAGAGCGCGAAAGAGAGAGAUUGAGAUAUUGAGAGAAGGAAGAAAGUUGAAGAAAAUAUACCUCCGGUUGCAAGGUUAUUCUCGGUCUGAAGAACCGCGAUACUCUGCAUCUUGGACGCCAUCGUACCUUCUCUUCUAUCUAUCUCCCUGAGAUUAGCUUUCCUUUUUCAGUUCAGAAACUUCUACUGCGGAUUCCGUCUGUAAGUAGUAGAGAGCUACAUUAGAAGAUGUGGCUGGAAUUUGAUGAUGGGGAGGAGAGGGAAAGACAAGUAAAGAGGGGCAGCCAAACAAACGGCUUCCAGAGUCCAAAUCCCAGCUACCAAAGAAAUCACAAACCAGUCUCCUAAAAGCAAUGAAAAAAAUGCUUGCACAACAAAACACAAGAACCAUUAGCAUCAAACAAGUUUUUACAGAGGAGGAGAAAAACAUGAAUACAGAGCAACCUGAAGAGAAGACCCGACCUCACUGGAGAGAAAGAAGAAAGCACAAGAUCUGCAACCAACAGUGAAGAUGGCACGUCCUUGGGCGGUAACAAGCCCGUGGAUGAGAAAAAAAAGAGAAAACUGCACGUCAGUGGACAAGGGACAAAAGAAAUACGAACUUUAGCCAAAAAAAAAAAAACAAAAAAAACAAAAAGAGGGGCAGACCAGAGGUAACCCGAAGAGAAGAUCUGACCUCACCGGAGAUGAAGAAGAAAGCCUAUUACAACAAAACAAAGGAGGAGGUCAACAAAAUUUUGUACCAGGUUCCAGAGGAUGCGGAUAAGUGAUAGAGCAACAUUAUCCCAAAAAAAACCAAAAAAAGAAAGAAAGAGAAUGUAAUGGGAGAGAGAAUGCAGCGGGAAGAGAGCAAAUGCAGCAGAAGAUCAGAAAGACGGAAGCACGGGCACAUGGGACACUGGCAGGCGAGGCCAGAUGGGAAAACUAACGCGCGAUGCGCGAACAACAUGAUGAUUCCAAUCCACAUGCCGGGCACGUGAGAGGACGACGAAAAUUCUGGCUGAAUGGAGUUGCCAUGUUAUCUACUUAUGUUGACUAGGAGGCAAUAACGCGCUUCGCGCGAUAGUAAUGUAAAAUGCCCAUUCCAUUUCUGAAGUAAGAAAAAUAACAUUUCAUUUAGAAAUGUACAUUUUUUAGUAUAUAUAUACCAUGAGUCUGAAGGUUUGUUGAUAUUUCUUGGCUACAAACUUUCAUGGAAGUUGCUAAAUUUCUAAAUUUAAUGGAAGUGCUUUGGAACCUCCAAAGCCUGAAUUUCUAAAUUUUGCUAAACUUCCAAAGUCUGAAAUGCAAAUUUAAAUUUCUAAAUUUUUAAUAGGAACUUCCAAACUCUGAAGUUUUGUUAAUGCAAAUUUAAUGGAGCAUUUUUCUAAAUUUAAUAUAUACCAGCCAUUUGUUUUUUGUAACCAAAGGUAGGAUCAACUUUAUUGCUAAACAUCAAAGUUUAAUAAGUAAUGCCGUUGGAACAUCCAUUAUGAAAGCUUCAAUUGUUGUUUACAACAGUAGGAACUUGCUAAACAUUAAAUUUGCAGUGCUUUGGAAGCAUUUUUCUAACCAGAACUUUUUUCCAUUAAGAACAUAAAUACAACAAAUGCCGUGCAUUGCGUUGAAGCAGAAUCAACGUAAAUCAGAUGUGCCAUCAAAUGGAAAAUGCAAACUGCCAUAGAAACAACUUCUCUAUUCCUUUGCGGUCAAACACCAGCACAACAAAGGGAGUCUUGGAUUGUGGAAUAAAAAGCAAUAUCUGGCCAUUUUUUAGAUCAUGAUCAAUAACAAAACGGUUCCAGUUUUGAUCAAAACAUCUGCCGGUCAUACCAACAUGAUAAUAUUUAUGACUAUUUGUAAGAGUUAUAGUCGUCGUACUAUCUUCAUUUAGCCUUAGAUUCGCAAAUUCUGGUAGAUCCUAUAAAUGUAUGAAAAAAAAUUGUGAUAAGUAAAUACACAUAUGUACAAAAGAAAGAGAGUUAAUAAGGUUAGAGAAUGCAAAACUAUACCAGCUUGUACUUGUACUUUGAUAGAUAAAAUUGAUAGAAGCAAUUGAAUGUAGUCCAGUCAUGUUUUAGGAAUGGAUUCAUAGAUGAGACAAUACGAUGGAGAACUGAUUCUGAGAUUUCAUGAUCUGUUUAUAAAGUAACAAAAGAAACCAUAUCAGCCAUAAUAAAUACCGUCUAAGCAAAAAAUAUAUAUAUAAUGGUAGUAAUAAAUACCGGAUUCUAGGACCUCAUGAAUUGUCCUUAGUCCUUGUAAGGAAGUAAUGGUAGUAAAACAAUCCUUUCAUCACGGCUGUUGCUCUUGUCUUCUCAGCGAAUUUUCGUCUUUGGAGGCCAGAGAAGCUUGAAAUACACAAAGUGAAAUUCAAUAAGACAUUUCACACUAAAAAUGACAUUAGUUGUUUUGUAUAUAAGAAUGACAUUAAUUGUUUUGUAUAUAAGAAGUCAUUUUGUUUUAGACACAUUAACAAUUAUGAUAUACCCAACAUUUUUAUAGGUUAUUAUACCAACGUCAUAAAAAGAAAACCAAGACCUAAAUUGUGGAACUGAUUAUAAAUUAAUUACUGUGGAAAGUAUAUUUAAACUAUUAAUCUAAUCUAGGAUGAACACAAAAAAAUGAAUAAGUAAUGUGCAAAAAAAAGGUGGUCAAAGAAUUUAACUUAUUUCAGAAAUAAUGAACCAAAUAAAGAAUCAAUCUUAGGAAAGCUGUAUGGUCUCGUCUUACAUUAAUUUCAACUUUGUUCUCUAUAUGAUUUCUUGAUUCUUUACCCCAAAGUCUUUUUCUCCCAUCAAGAAUGCUUCAGAAAUUAUAUGAUCAAUACAUACCUAGCUAUUACAGAAUGGCAACAAACUGAAAUGGCAACAACCUAGCUAUUACAGAAUUUCUGUGCUUGAGUCCUCUAACAACUAUAACUACAUAAUACACAUUAACUAAAAAACAUCCAAUGAAACUGCACUCAUAAUCAAACGACAAUGCCUAACAUAGGACAGCAGAUUCCUUCCUCUUUACUGCUUGGCCACAUGAGCAGUCAGUUCAGAAUUCUGCAGCAAAAAAUUAGAAGCAUUCAAAAUCAUUCAAAAUAACCAAUGAAUUCCUAGUCUGCACACACUAUUUAUUCAGUCAAAAGCAUUCAAAAUCAUUCAAGAAGAAUAAGUGUAAUCAUUCAAAACAGCACUCACACAAGUAACUUAUGAAGAUGCCUUUAUACACAACACACCGAAGCAAAAGUAACAUCUCGCAGAAAGAACCAAACACAGAAGAACAUCAUUUACAGGAUAUAAAACAGCAUUUGUCAAAGUCUGAAACAAAAAGAAGUCUCUAAUACAAUUCAUCUUGCUUUAGCAUUCCAAUUGAUCACUUUCAGAAAAAUGAGCUAAAGUAAUAAAUUUCCACGAACAAUAGAAUAAGUUAGUAUAACAAAGAAAUCAUAAUCUCAAAUUCAGAGGCAAAAAACAAAAAAAAAAAAAAAGAACCCUUGUUUUGACAAAUAUAACAAGUAUGAUAAAAAACUGACAAAUGUUGUCAUGGAGCGGAAGACAUUUCAAAUUCAAUUAAGGAAAAAUAACUGGUACAGCCUUUUUUUAUUGUUUCCAUCCCACACAUCAACAUAACCAUCACAACCUCAAGUAGCAAAUGUACCAUAGCUACAAAUCAAAAUCAGUUUUGAGACAGAUUUUGGCAAAAAGCUCAAGGUAUUCAAUCAAUAGAUAAUUGUAAUAGAUCCAACUCAAUCACUCAAUAUAUCUAGAGUUGAUAAAUCAAGCACAUAGGCUUAUAAAUCAUUCAUGGAUACAUUGACAUUAUAAAUCAUUCUCUUUUGUUUGUUCCAUUCCAACUCAAUCAUUGACAUAGCUACCUUAAGAAUACAUGGAUCGGCUCCACUUAUCAAGUUCAAAAAAACAGAUGUUUCCUAAAGACGCAUAGUUAUGAUGAGAAGCUUGAAGGUCGUGAUUGCCUGGGGAAUAUCUAGAGUUGAAAAUUGGAAAUCAGGAAAGAUAAAUUCAGGUUCGAUCGCUUAUUCGUAAGCUGUUAAAGUUUUGAACUGUCCCCAUAAUUGAUUGUUUUUGCCUUGUUUCUGCAAUUAUCUCUCAUAUUUGUUUACAGUAAGCACCAUCACAUCAAGUAAAGAACACUUCUCUUGCACCCUAUAUCAAUCUAACAUGAUUCCAUCUGGUACUGAGACUACCAAAACCCAAGCUCGUAGCCCAAAGAACCUACAACACUUUGUUCACCAUAGCUGAAGACAUACUUGGAACAACUAAGGUACCAUAUACUUUCUUUUUUUUUUCAGUGCAUAGGCAGACACAAACAUAUAUAGUUAUAAUAAAUCACACACACCUCAAACAAAAAAGAAAUGAAUUCUUUCAUAUCUUGAUAAACACUUCAAAUGUAUACUAAUCCUAUGAACAACCAAGUAAAAUGACAUUGAUAUGGUAUGAAGAGACAUACACA